UUAAUUAAAGCCAAAAAGAGGCAUAUCACUGUUAAUGAUAAAAUUGGACUAUGUUAUCCUAAUUAAA
rnacentral:tRNA from 1 species